AGUCUGGUGCCAGCAGCCGCGGUAAUUCCAGCUCCAAUAGCGUAUAUUAAAGUUGUUGCAGUUAAAAAGCUCGUAGUUGGAUUUCGGGGCUCCUUAUGUAAUAGUCAUGCGGUGGACACUUGCUUGUUGCUUUAGGGGGGUGUUUUUUUGGGGCAACCCGAGGACACCACCCGGCGGCAGGGGAAAGGCCACUGCGGGCGGGGCCCAUUUAUAUUUCUCGAAGACGUCACGGGCCCUUAACUGGUGUACUGUGGUCGCGGAUUCGAGACGUUUACUUUGAAAAAAUUAGAGUGUUCAAAGCAGGCAAUCAAAAACGCUUGAAUACAUUAGCAUGGAAUAAUGGAAUAGGACUUUGGUCUUAUUUUGUUGGUUUCUAGGACUGAAGUAAUGAUUAAUAGGGACAGUUGGGGGCAUUCGUAUUUAAUUGUCAGAGGUGAAAUUCUUGGAUUUAUGAAAGACGAACUUCUGCGAAAGCAUUUGCCAAGGAUGUUUUCAUUAAUCAAGAACGAAAGUUAGGGGAUCGAAGACGAUUAGAUACCGUCGUAGUCCUAACCAUAAACUAUGCCGACUAGGGAUCAGUGGGGAACAAAUCAAAAAACUCCAUUGGCACCUUAUGAGAAAUCAAAGGUUUUGGGUUCUGGGGAAAGUACCAACGCAAGUUGGAAACUUAAAGGAAUUGACGGAAGGGCACACCAGGCGUGGAAUCUGCGGCUUAAUUUUACCCAACACGGGGAAACUCACCAGGUCCAGACAAAAUAAGGAUUGACAGAUUGAGAGCUCUUUCUUGAUUUUUUGGGCAGUGGUGCAUGGCCGUUCUUAGUUGGUGGAGCGAUCUGUCUGGUUAAUUCCGAUAACGAACGAGACCUUAACCUGCUAAAUAGCGACGUCAUUCCUUGUGAAGGACGGAUUUUGACUUCUUAGAGGGACUAUCGGUGACUAACCGAUGGAAGUUUGAGGCAAUAACAGGUCUGUGAUGCCCUUAGAUGUUCUGGGCCGCACGCGCGUUACACUGACAGAGGCAGCGAGUUUUUUUAAAUAUCCUGGCCUGGAAAGGUUUGGGUAAUCUUGUGAAUCUCUGUCGUGAUGGGGAUAGAUCUUUGUAAUUAUCGAUCUUCAACGAGGAAUGCCUUGUAAUCGCGGUUCAUCAAAUCGCGUUGACUACGUCCCUGCCCUUUGUACACACCGCCCGUCGCUACUACCGAUUGAAUGGUUUAGUGAGGUCUCGGGACUGGCGCGGCUUGGCUGUAAAAGGCCGAUCCAUGCUGGGAACUUGCCCAAACUUGAUCAUUUAGAGGAAGUAAAAGUC
rnacentral:rRNA from 1 species